rnacentral:tRNA from 1 species
AACUUUUUAAUAUGGCAGAUUUAGUGCAUUGGAUUUAAACCCCAAUUAUAAAGAUUUUAUAUCUUUUAUUAAAA